AGGGGUAGAGCUCAGUGGUAGAGAGUGUGCUUAGCAUGCACAAGGUCUUGGGUUCAAUUCCCAGUGCCUCUA
rnacentral:tRNA from 1 species